UAAAACCGGUAAAACCACAAGUUAAGACAUAUGGGUAUGGAGAGCUCAACUAUCUACGACAACAGCUAAAUAUAUUCCAACAAUUGGCAGGCCAAUGACGACCGAUAUGCCAACAACCGAACCACCAACUAGGGCACGGUCUACCGGUCCUGGUAGACCGUGUUUCCAGGCAUCAAACGAAACACCAGUAGCAACGAAUACCUUCACCAGUCCAGCACCAACAGAGCCCAGUCGAACUGUCAAAGUUGGAUCACCUGAGAACGACGCCAAUAUUUCUAACAUCAUCAGCUUGAAGGAAUAGGAUAUAGGAAUCUAGUUUGACCAAAUUACAACAGACAUUUAAGCGAAUUUACAAAAAAUUAAUGAAAAUCAUGUCCUAAAUAAUAUACAAACACAAAAUAAGAUUUGUUUAGCUUAUCGGAAUCAGUGUAGCCAUCCCCUGAAUUAAAACCUAUUAAAAAUUUGUGGAAUAAAGUAUGAAAACAUA